rnacentral:rRNA from 1 species
AACACUGUACAGUGGAUCACUUGGCUCGGGGGUCGAUGAAGAACGCAGCUAACUGCGCGUCGGAAUGUGAACUGCAGGACACAUGAGCAUCGACACUUUGAACGCAUAUUGCGGAUUUCCCCUCGUUGGGAAGUCCAUGCUUGGCUCAGGGUCG